GAAGGAGCAGGCCUUAGAAGAGAGAACAGGGCCAGAUUAGCUGGGCUCAGGGGAGGUGGACCCAGGUGGGAAAAAGAAGCUGUCAAGCCCAGAGGCUGAGCUCUUUCCCACGGCGGGGGGCAGACCCUCUCACCUUGCAGGGCAGGAUGACAUGUCGAUGUGAAGAGGAUGGACACAUCAGUGGAUCCUGGCAGUUUGGCUUCAGUGGACAAAUGUGCCUCCUCUUUGAUUUGGAGAAUGGACACUGGACAGUGGUUCAUUCUGGAGGGAGACGGAUGAGAGAGAAGUGGGAGAAGGACAGGGCUGUGAGCAACUUCUUCAAGAAGGUCUCCAUGGGAGACUGUCAGGCCUGUCUUUGGGAUUUCUUGGUGCACUGGGAGGAAAUGUCGACAACCACAGCUCCCCUGAGUAAACGCCACGGCCACAGCCAUCAAGCACAUCACCUGGAUCCUCCAUGUGGUCCUCACCAGUUUCAUCAUAACUGUCUUCCUGGGCUGAGUCCUUUCCAGGAACAGGUAUGGAGGGCAGAAUUCAGAGAGAAGGCAGGGGCACAGGGCCUGGUGUGAGGCCGGGGAAGGUGAAUCCCAGUUAACCCCUGCCCCUCACUGAACCUCCUCACCCUGGAAAUGAGCAGGUGGAUAAGACCCCAUAUCACCUGAGAGCAAGAACUGCAGACCCAACUCCAAAGGCCUGUUCUCACAGGAAGUGGCCUGGGUCAAGCAGGCAAGGCAGGAGCCCCACAGCAGAGACUGUGGGAAGGGCUGAGGCCAGGCCUGUGCUCCUGGAGCAGCAGCAGUUCUGACUCAGCCUGUGGCCUGCAUGUCCCCAGCUUCCUGGGGACCCAGAGCCUCUAUCACUGAGCGGCCCUGCCUUGAGCAGAGGUGCCUGGGGAUGGUGGGCCUGAGCUGGGGUGGAGGUGCCCAGCUGGGGGGACCAGGAAGAGAUGGGUGGCAGGGACCCUGGUCCUGAGAGCUGUGUGUGCUGCUCAGAGGCUGGAGGGGUGCAAAGGAAGGAGGUUUGCCUGCAGCCCCCAAGGCUGUCAGAAAGCAAGGCCCCUCCUCCAGGGACCUGCUCCCUGGUCCUUUAGGCCCCCCUCGGGGAGGAUCUGGGCCUGAGUAAAGGGAGCAGAUUGAUUCCUUACUGGCUCCAGUCCUGAGCCUGAGCAGGGGGUGUCAGGGCCUGGGGUGACUCUGUGAUGCAGGAAGGAAGGAGGAGGUGACAAGAAGCUUCUGGGCCUGAGGUGGGG
rnacentral:lncRNA from 1 species